CGAUAGGACAAUCCCUAGGAGGUCUCCUAAGGGCGGUCGGCUAACCCCGAGGAAAGGGGGUGAAGCCUUGACAAUUUUCGAAACCUUAAUGGCGAUGUUUACUUUUGCUACUCUGAUAAUUGCCAUUUUGUCAUUCCAAAAUAAAAAAUAGACCUCCCUUGUCCGAAAAAUGAGGGAGAGGUCUAUUCAUCCAAUGUAGGCCGAUCCCCUAUUGGGGGGACCAUGUCUAUCGUAGGCCGUAAAUGCUGCAACAUUUACG
rnacentral:sRNA from 1 species